rnacentral:rRNA from 1 species
UACAGAGGGUGCGAGCGUUAAUCGGAAUUACUGGGCGUAAAGCGCGCGUAGGCGGCUUUGCAAGUCGGGUGUGAAAUCCCCAGGCUUAACCUGGGAACUGCAUUCGAGACUGCAUUGCUAGAGUAUGGGAGAGGGAAGUGGAAUUCCGAGUGUAGAGGUGAAAUUCGUAGAUAUUCGGAAGAACACCAGUGGCGAAGGCGGCUCACUGGACCGGUAUUGACGCUGAGGUGCGAAAGCGUGGGGAGCAAACAGG